AUCAACUUUCGAUGGUAGGAUAGAGGCCUACCAUGGUGGUAACGGGUAACGGGGUGUUAGGGCACGACACCGGAGAGGGAGCCUGAGAAACGGCUACCACAUCCAAGGAUGGCAGCAGGCGCGCAAAUUACCCAAUCCCGACACGGGGAGGUAGUGACAAUAAAUAACAAUACGGGGUUCUUUCGGAUUUCGUAAUUGGAAUGAGUACAAUUUAAAUCUCUUAACGAGGAACAAUUGGAGGGCAAGUCUGGUGCCAGCAGCCGCGGUAAUUCCAGCUCCAAUAGCGUAUAUUAAAGUUGCUGCAGUUAAAAAGCUCGUAGUUGAAUUUCGGGACCAAUAUGUCGGUCGUGCCUCGGUACGUACUGGCAUCGUUGGUUUCUCCCUUCUGACGAACCAUGAUGUCAUUCAUUUGGUGUCGUGGGGAAUCAGGACUGUUACUUUGAAAAAAUUAGAGUGUUUAAAGCAGGCUCACGCUUGAAUACAUUAGCAUGGAAUAAUGAAAUAGGACGUUUGAUUCUAUUUUGUUGGUUUCUAGGAUCGACGUAAUGAUUAAUAGGGAUAGUUGGGGGCAUUAGUAUUCAAUUGUCAGAGGUGAAAUUCUUGGAUUUAUUGAAGACUAACUACUGCGGAAGCAUUUGCCAAGGAUGUUUUCAUUAAUCAAGAACGAAAGUUAGGGGAUCGAAGACGAUCAGAUACCGUCGUAGUCUUAACCAUAAACUAUGCCGACUAGGGAUCGGAUGAUGUAAUUUUUUUAAUGACUCAUUCGGCGCCUUACGGGAAACCAAAGUGUUUGGGUUC
rnacentral:rRNA from 1 species